AGAGUUUGAUCAUGGCUCAGGAUGAACGCUAGCUACAGGCUUAACACAUGCAAGUCGCGGGGCAGCAUGACAUCAGCUUGCUGAUGUUGAUGGCGACCGGCGCACGGGUGAGUAACGCGUAUCCAACCUGCCCUUUACUAUGGGACAGCCCGUCGAAAGGCGGAUUAAUACCGUAUGUUGUCAUGUUGAUGCAUAUUUUCAUGACCAAAGGCUUCGGCCGGUAAAGGAUGGGGAUGCGUCUGAUUAGCUUGCCGGCGGGGUAACGGCCCACCGGGGCGACGAUCAGUAGGGGUUCUGAGAGGAAGGUCCCCCACAUUGGAACUGAGACACGGUCCAAACUCCUACGGGAGGCAGCAGUGAGGAAUAUUGGUCAAUGGGCGCGAGCCUGAACCAGCCAAGUAGCGUGCAGGACGACGGCCCUAUGGGUUGUAAACUGCUUUUAUACGGGGAUAAAGUAUGCCACGUGUGGUUUAUUGCAGGUACCGUAUGAAUAAGGACCGGCUAAUUCCGUGCCAGCAGCCGCGGUAAUACGGAAGGUCCGGGCGUUAUCCGGAUUUAUUAGGUUUAAAGGGAGCGUAGGCCGGGUUUUAAGCGUGCCGUGAAAUGUCGGGGCUCAACCUUGACACUGCGGCGCGAACUGGAGUCCUUGAGUGCGCGGAACGUAUGCGGAAUUCGUGGUGUAGCGG
rnacentral:rRNA from 1 species